GACGGAGGGCGCAAGCGUUGUUCGGAAUUAUUGGGCGUAAAGAGCUUGUAGGCGGUUUGUCGCGUCUGCCGUGAAAAUUCGAGGCUCAACCUCGAACUUGCGGUGGGUACGGGCAGACUAGAGUGUGGUAGGGGAGACUGGAAUUCCUGGCGUAGCGGUGAAAUGCGCAGAUAUCAGGAGGAACACCGAUUGCGAAGGCAGCUCGCUGGAACGUUACUGACGCUGAGACGCGAAAGCGUGGGGAGCAAACAGG
rnacentral:rRNA from 1 species